rnacentral:rRNA from 1 species
UUAAAUUGAAGAGUUUGAUCAUGGCUCAGAUUGAACGCUGGCGGCAGGCCUAACACAUGCAAGUCGAACGGUAACAGGAAGCAGCUUGCUGCUUCGCUGACGAGUGGCGGACGGGUGAGUAAUGUCUGGGAAACUGCCUGAUGGAGGGGGAUAACUACUGGAAACGGUAGCUAAUACCGCAUAACGUCGCAAGACCAAAGAGGGGGACCUUCGGGCCUCUUGCCAUCGGAUGUGCCCAGAUGGGAUUAGCUAGUAGGUGGGGUAACGGCUCACCUAGGCGACGAUCCCUAGCUGGUCUGAGAGGAUGACCAGCCACACUGGAACUGAGACACGGUCCAGACUCCUACGGGAGGCAGCAGUGGGGAAUAUUGCACAAUGGGCGCAAGCCUGAUGCAGCCAUGCCGCGUGUAUGAAGAAGGCCUUCGGGUUGUAAAGUACUUUCAGCGGGGAGGAAGGGAGUAAAGUUAAUACCUUUGCUCAUUGACGUUACCCGCAGAAGAAGCACCGGCUAACUCCGUGCCAGCAGCCGCGGUAAUACGGAGGGUGCAAGCGUUAAUCGGAAUUACUGGGCGUAAAGCGCACGCAGGCGGUUUGUUAAGUCAGAU